rnacentral:rRNA from 1 species
AAUAGAUACCCGGGUAGUACACGCCGUAAACGGUGGGCACUAGGUGUGGGCGACAUUCCACGUCGUCCGUGCCGCAGCUAACGCAUUAAGUGCCCCGCCUGGGGAGUACGGCCGCAAGGCUAAAACUCAAAGGAAUUGACGGGGGCCCGCACAAGCGGCGGAGCAUGCGGAUUAAUUCGAUGCAACGCGAAGAACCUUACCAAGGCUUGACAUAUACGAGAACGCUCUAGAAAUAGGGAACUCUUUGGACACUCGUAUACAGGUGGUGCAUGGUUGUCGUCAGCUCGUGUCGUGAGAUGUUGGGUUAAGUCCCGCAACGAGCGCAACCCGUCGUUCUAUGUUGCCAGCGGUUCGGCCGGGAACUCAUAGGAGACUGCCGGGGUCAACUCGGAGGAAGGUGGGGAUGACGUCAAAUCAUCAUGCCCCUUAUGUCUUGGGCUUCACGCAUGCUACAAUGGCCGGUACAAAGGGCUGCAAUCCGUAAGGUGGAGCGAAUCCCAAAAAGCCGGUCUCAGUUCGGAUUGAGGU